rnacentral:sRNA from 1 species
AGCUGAGUGUGCUGGCUGCUGGGGAGAGGGGCGCUGCCGCAGGGUGUGGGUGUGCGUGUGGGGAGCUCCUGGGCCACACGCUUCCCUACGCUCUGCUCUGUCUAUUGACACAUGAGUCUCAGGCUGUAGGUAAUUUGGGGAUGGGGCUGGGAUGUGAUGUGUGUAUGUUUCUAGGGGCUUGCUUGUGUGACUGCCGGUCUCUGUGUGUGUUUGGGGCACACACAUGGAAUAGUCCCUCAGCAACGGGACUGCCCAGGGAGGAGCCGCUGUGCAUGCGUGGUGGGCAGGGGUGUGCACCCAUGUGGGGAGUAGUGACCCAGCUGCCCGUAAGGGCCCUGGGCCUGGGGGUGCGUGUGUGGGGUCUCUACCUCCACCUGCUGUCCCUGGGGCUGCGGGCUUUCCUGCUUUUCUUCCUUGUGCUUCUUCGAGAGCUGUGUGUGUGUGUGCGGGAGGCAGGCAGGGCUGUGUUCACGGUGGCUGGCUCUGUGGCCGUCAUGGCCCACGUCUGUAGUGUCUGUGUCUUCCUUCAGGUUGUUGCCUGGUCUGCCCAGCUGGUGGGGAGCUGGGUGAUGCUGCACAUAUGGCUGUGCCGUGCCUUGCUGGAGACCCUCAGACGGGUUCCUUUACUCCCGCUGUGUGAGCAGGCGGCCAGGUGGCUGGUGUGGGCCGGCAUGCAGGCUGGCAAAGGCCUGGCUCGGGUGUGGGGUGUGGCAACCUUUGUGCAGCUGUGUGCCCACACGGUCUUCCUGAGCACAUACCUGUGCACGCACAUCUGCUUUGCCGCCAUCAGCUCUAAGGUCCGUGUGAGAGUGCACGUGCCGUUCUGUGUCUCACUGCCUUUGAAGGUCCAUGGCCCUCUGAGCGUGGGCAUCAAAGUGGGGCUGCAGGGCCAGAAGCAUGGGAGGGCCACGGGGGACGCAGGUAUGCCUCAGGGGGAGAUAUUGGGGAAGCAGGAACCCCAGACGUCCCGGAGCCCCAAGCCCACCAGGAGAAGGGAGGUGUCACGGAGUGAGCUCAGUCCAGUGAUACCCAGCGCCGCAACCCUCAUCAUUGUGGUGUGCGUGGGCUUCCUGGUGCUCAUGGUCGUCCUGGGCCUGGUGCGCAUCCAUUCCCUUCACCGCCGCGUCUCAGGGGCUGGCGGGCCUCCAGGGGCCUCCAGUGACCCCAAGGACCCGGACCUCUUCUGGGAUGACUCAGCUCUCACCAUCAUUGUGAACCCCAUGGAGGUGAGAGACCUGGGGAAGUGGGGUUCUGUAGGGUCAAGACUGUGGAGCACACACAUCCUACCAGAAUCGGCAGGCCUGUGUGACGGGGGCUGUUGGGGGCCAGCAGGAGGAUGAGGACAGCAGUGACUCGGAGGUGGCCGACUCCCCCAGCAGCGACGAGAGACGCAUCAUCGAGACCCCCCCACACCGCUACUAAGGCCUGCACCUCUCCCCACGCAGAGGGAGAAUUCUGCCCUGGUGAAACAGACACUCCAGACAUGGGAGAAGGACUUUCUGGGAGAACAGAAACCAAGAGGGAGAGAGGCUUCAGAACCAGUCCUCCUUUCAUCUCAAAACCCCAGCGGGCCCUCUGGAGUCCGCCCUGCCCCUCCCCUGGCCCCCUAUCCCUUGCCUCUGGGCUGUCAUUCUCCUGGUGUGCCCCUUGCACUGGGGCUGGCUGGGUUGGAAAGUGGGCCGGACUUCAGCUGCCUUUCUACCCCCAAUGGCAGCUGCCCCCUUAGCACUCACUGUGUUGGGGAGAGGGUGACGAUUGCAAUGGCUGGGGCUGGGGCUGGGGGUGGGAUUGAAGGAAACCCUCUCCUCUCCCCUUCCCUUCUCUUUCCUGUCCAUGGGAAGCUUCUCCCCCUCUGCAGGCCUCCCUCAGCUGGGCCGUCGUCCCUGCUUCUCUUAUGAUCGCCCCACCUCAUUUCCAUUUCAGUCUGGGGACCCUGUUUCUCCCUCCUUUCCAACUUCCUUCCUUUCUUGUCCUGUUUCCCUUCCUGCCCUUGCAGUCCUGAGGUCCUGCAGCCCCGGCCCCUCCUCUGUGACCUGGUGUGGCCAGGCUGCGGGGACGGGAGGGGACGUGGGGGCCCCGGGUGUAUAUAUAUAAUGUAUAUUUUUUCAAUGUUGUCGUGAGUGCAGCCCCUGUGUUCCCGUGUGCAGCUCACGGCCUUGUGUGUAUGUGUGUGUGUGUGUGUGUGUGUGUGUGUGUGUGUAUGAGGCAUCGUCAUGUCCUGGGGCAGGGGUGGGGGGAUGGGUGUGGUGGGGGAGGGGACAUAUCCUAGGGUUUUCAAAUAAAACAAUCAGAAAAAAAAAAAA